ACAUUUUUUCCCUUUAGUUGGUGCUUCUCGUGCUGCUGUUGAUGCUGGCUUUGUUCCCAAUGACAUGCAAGUUGGACAGACAGGAAAAAUAGUAGCACCAGAACUUUAUAUUGCUGUGGGAAUAUCUGGAGCCAUCCAACAUUUAGCUGGGAUGAAAGACAGCAAGACAAUUGUGGCUAUUAACAAAGACCCAGAAGCUCCAAUUUUCCAAGUGGCAGAUUAUGGAAUAGUUGCAGAUUUAUUUAAGGUAGUUCCUGAAAUGACUGAGCUGUUGAAGAAAAAGUGAAUCAUGAUCAUAUUUUAAGAAGGAAAACUAUGUCAAAGUAUUCAGCAGAAAUCGUAGAAGUCCAUGGGUAUAACAUCGCUGGAAAUCAUGGAGAGCUACAUUUUGUAAUUUGAGUGAAAAAUUGUAACAGAUGUGAGAAUGCUUUUUUAUGAGACUGUUAUUAUGUUUCUUUUUAAUUAUUUGUGAUUCCAAACAAUUUUUUUUGAAAUUUUCUAAUUCUGUAAUAAAAUCUAUAAUAAAGCCUUUCCACAGCUUUAAAACUAC